CUCAGAAUAGAUACGAUUUCCUGAAACUGGCAUCAAGCUGAAGACAGUUCUGGCAAAUUGUCAAGAAAAUCUAACAUGGAAAAGAGAGGAAAUUAUAUGAAAAAUGGCAGGAAAUAUGAUGAGUCAAGACGAACAAGAAUUGAACUCAAAACAGAUUUCAAUACGAAGCGCUGCUGUAAUCUGAUCAAGAGCAGGCAACUCUACAAGGUAACCAUUUGGGGUAAAGAGAAGCAAUGUAGAUAAAGUGUCUUUCUCAAUGACUCAAGCAAAAUACACAGCGAAUGAUUGAAACCCCGACCUCAAGGUUGGGAACCAAACCGUUCCCGCUGCGGUAAACCUCUUCUACAAAUGUUGGUCCUUAACAAGACAUUAUUUCAAUUUCCAUCCUUUGAUUUUCAACACACUUGUUUAAUGGGCAACACAGUGGCUAUUGUCUUAUUGGAUAUGUUAUUGUUCUUAAUACAAUUCAUACAUCCAUCCAAUUAAAAUUAGGAAUUCUUUUAAGACUGGUGUAACAAUAGCCACUAAUAUAUUAUA